GGUGGGGUUUUGUUUCCCAGUUAGGACUGGCCAUGGGCCAGUGGCCGAGUGAAUGCUCAGGGCUCUAGCCCACCAAAGCAGCUGCCCUGAGGCAGUGGGGAUUCCACAGGACAAAGGCCAUCCCUCUCUGGCCUAACAGACCAUGAGGAGUCAUAAGUAGCUGAUAUCACAGAUUGGUCAAAUCUGGAGGGCUGCCUUCCUUGAAAUUUCCAUCUUGGGUCCUAGAGCUGGUGAAGAUGGGAUGGAGGUGGAAGUAUCAUUGGCUACUUCCAGGACAGAAGGAAAUUCAGAGCAAGUAAACCAACAGAAAGAGGAAAUGGCAACCCACUGCAGUGUUCUUGCCUGGAGAAUCCCAGGGACGGGGGAGCCUGGUGGGCUGCCGUCUAUGGGAUCGCACAGAGUCGGACACGACUGAAGUGACUUAGCAGUAGCAAGAGGUCUGACUCCUCUGAGGCCACCACGCUGUGAGGAAGCCGGAGCCUUGGGAGGAGAGCAUGUGAAAGCUGCUGAUUGACAGUGCUGCGUGAACCCACUUCACAGUUACUCCAGGAGCCAGACCUGUGAAUGAUGAUGUUUCCAGAUGACUCCAGCACCCAGCUGUUCCAAUUUUCAUAACUAAGGUCCCAGACCUCAUAGAGCAGAGGCAGGCCCUCCCC
ensembl:lncRNA